UACGGGGGGAGCAAGCGUUGUUCGGAUUUACUGGGCGUAAAGGGCGCGUAGGCGGCCAGCACAAGUCAGUUGUGAAAUCUCCGAGCUUAACUCGGAAAGGUCAACUGAUACUGUGCGGCUAGAGUGCGGAAGGGGCAACUGGAAUUCUUGGUGUAGUGGUGAAAUGCGUAGAUAUCAAGAGGAACACCUGCGGCGAAGGCGGGUUGCUGGGCCGACACUGACGCUGAGGCGCGAAAGCCAGGGGAGCGAACGGG
rnacentral:rRNA from 1 species